GAUGAACGCUGGCGGCGUGCCUAAUACAUGCAAGUCGAGCGAACAGACGAUGAGCUUGCUCCUCUCACGUUAGCGGCGGACGGGUGUGUAACACGUGGAUAACCUACCUAUAUGACUGGGAUAAUCUCGGGACACCGGAGCUUAUCCCGGAUAAUAUCUUGAACCGCAGGGUUGAAUAGUGAGAUACGGUUUUUCUGUCACUUAUAGAUGGAUCUGGGCGGCAUUAGCUAGUUGUUACGUUAACGGCCUACCAAGGCAAGUAUGCGUAACCGACGGGAGAGGGUGGUCGGCCGCACUGGAACUGGAACACGGUCCAGACUACUACGGGAGGCAGCAGUCGGCAAUCUUACGCAAAGGGCGAGAGCCUGACGGAGCAACGCCGCGUGAGUGAUGAAGGUCUUCGGAUCGUAAAGCUCUGUUAUUAGGGAAGAACAAAUGUGUAAGUAACUAUGCACGUCUUGACGGUACCUAAUCAGAAAGCAACGGCUAACUACGUG
rnacentral:rRNA from 1 species